UACGAAGGGGGCUAGCGUUGCUCGGAAUCACUGGGCGUAAAGCGCACGUAGGCGGAUCUUUAAGUCAGGGGUGAAAUCCUGGAGCUCAACUCCAGAACUGCCUCUGAUACUGGGGAUCUUGAGUCCGGAAGAGGUAAGUGGAACUGCGAGUGUAGAGGUGAAAUUCGUAGAUAUUCGCAAGAACACCCGUGGCGAAGGCGGCUCUCUGGGACGGUACUGACGCUGAGACGCGAAAGCGUGGGGAGCGAACAGG
rnacentral:rRNA from 1 species